rnacentral:rRNA from 1 species
AGUGAACGCUGGCGGCGUGCCUAAUACAUGCAAGUCGAACGAAGUGGCGCACGGGUGAGUAAUAUAUAGUUAAUCUGCCCUCCACAGAGGAACAACAGUUGGAAAAGACUGCUAAUAACUCAUAGUGUAGGAUGAGACUAUAUCGUAUCAGCUAGUUGGUAAGGUAAUAGCUUACCAAGGGGAUGACGCGUAACUGGUCUGAUAGGAUGAUCAGUCACAUUGGAAAUGAGACACCGUUCAAACUCCUACGGGAGGCAGCAGUAAGGAAUAUUGCGCAAUGGGCGAAACCCUGACGAAGCAACGCCGCGUGGAGGAUGACACGUUUCGGAGCGUAAACUCCUUUUAUCAGGAAAGCGGUACCUGAUGAAUAAGCACCGGCUAACUCCGUGCCAGCAGCCGCGGUAAUUC